UACGAAGGGGGCGAGCGUUGUUCGGAUUUACUGGGCGUAAAGGGCGCGCAGGCGGCCGCAUUUGUCAGGCGUGAAAGCCCCGGGCUUAACCUGGGAACUGCGUUUGAUACGGUGUGGCUAGAGUUCGGGAGAGGAGAGUGGAAUUCCCAGUGUAGAGGUGAAAUUCGAUAGGAUAAUUUGGGAAGAACACCGGUGGCGAAGGUGGCUCUCUGGACCGAGACUGACGCGUGACGGCGC
rnacentral:rRNA from 1 species